rnacentral:rRNA from 1 species
GGAAGCAGCUUGCUGCUUUGCUGACGAGUGGCGGACGGGUGAGUAAUGUCUGGGAAACUGCCUGAUGGAGGGGGAUAACUACUGGAAACGGUAGCUAAUACCGCAUAACGUCGCAAGACCAAAGAGGGGGACCUUCGGGCCUCUUGCCAUCGGAUGUGCCCAGAUGGGAUUAGCUAGUAGGUGGGGUAACGGCUCACCUAGGCGACGAUCCCUAGCUGGUCUGAGAGGAUGACCAGCCACACUGGAACUGAGACACGGUCCAGACUCCUACGGGAGGCAGCAGUGGGAAUAUUGCACAAUGGGCGCAAGCCUGAUGCAGCCAUGCCGCGUGUAUGAAGAAGGCCUUCGGGUUGUAAAGUACUUUCAGCGGGGAGGAAGGUGUUGAGGUUAAUAACCUCAGCAAUUGACGUUACCCGCAGAAGAAGCACCGGCUAACUCCGUGCCAGCAGCCGCGGUAAUACGGAGGGUGCAAGCGUUAAUCGGAAUUACUGGGCGUAAAGCGCACGCAGGCGGUCUGUCAAGUCGGAUGUGAAAUCCCCGGGCUCAACCUGGGAACUGCAUUCGAAACUGGCAGGCUAGAGUCUUGUAGAGGGGGGUAGAAUUCCAGGUGUAGCGGUGAAAUGCGUAGAGAUCUGGAGGAAUACCGGUGGCGAAGGCGGCCCCCUGGACAAAGACUGACGCUCA